GAUGAACGCUGGCGGCGUGCCUAAUACAUGCAAGUCGAGCGAACAGACGAGGAGCUUGCUCCUCUGACGUUAGCGGCGGACGGGUGAGUAACACGUGGAUAACGUACCUAUAAGACUGGGAUAACUUCGGGAAACCGGAGCUAAUACCGGAUAAUAUAUUGAACCGCAUGGUUCAAUAGUGAAAGACGGUUUUGCUGUCACUUAUAGAUGGAUCCGCGCCGCAUUAGCUAGUUGGUAAGGUAACGGCUUACCAAGGCAACGAUGCGUAGCCGACCUGAGAGGGUGAUCGGCCACACUGGAACUGAGACACGGUCCAGACUCCUACGGGAGGCAGCAGUAGGGAAUCUUCCGCAAUGGGCGAAAGCCUGACGGAGCAACGCCGCGUGAGUGAUGAAGGUCUUCGGAUCGUAAAACUCUGUUAUUAGGGAAGAACAAAUGUGUAAGUAACUAUGCACGUCUUGACGGUACCUAAUCAGAAAGCCACGGCUAACUACGUG
rnacentral:rRNA from 1 species